GAUGAACGCUGGCGGCGUGCUUAACACAUGCAAGUCGAACGGUGAAGGCGGAGCUUGCUCUGCUGGAUCAGUGGCGAACGGGUGAGUAACACGUGAGCAAUCUGCCCCUGACUCUGGGAUAAGCGCUGGAAACGGCGUCUAAUACUGGAUACGAGCUGCGAAGGCAUCUUCAGCAGCUGGAAAGAACUUCGGUCAGGGAUGAGCUCGCGGCCUAUCAGCUUGUUGGUGAGGUAACGGCUCACCAAGGCGUCGACGGGUAGCCGGCCUGAGAGGGUGACCGGCCACACUGGGACUGAGACACGGCCCAGACUCCUACGGGAGGCAGCAGUGGGGAAUAUUGCACAAUGGGCGAAAGCCUGAUGCAGCAGCGCCGCGUGAGGGACGACGGCCUUCGGGUUGUAAACCUCUUUGAGCAGGGAAGAAGCGAAAGUGACGGUACCUGCAGAAAAAGCGCCGGCUAACUACGUG
rnacentral:rRNA from 1 species